AGUGAACGCUGGCGGUAGGCCUAACACAUGCAAGUCGAACGGCAGCACAGUAAGAGCUUGCUCUUACGGGUGGCGAGUGGCGGACGGGUGAGGAAUACAUCGGAAUCUACUUUUUCGUGGGGGAUAACGUAGGGAAACUUACGCUAAUACCGCAUACGACCUACGGGUGAAAGCAGGGGAUCUUCGGACCUUGCGCGAUUGAAUGAGCCGAUGUCGGAUUAGCUAGUUGGCGGGGUAAAGGCCCACCAAGGCGACGAUCCGUAGCUGGUCUGAGAGGAUGAUCAGCCACACUGGAACGGAGACACGGUCCAGACUCCUGCGGGAGGCAGCAGUGGGGAAUAUUGGACAAUGGGCGCAAGCCUGAUCCAGCCAUACCGCGUGGGUGAAGAAGGCCUUCGGGUUGUAAAGCCCUUUUGUUGGGAAAGAAAAGCAGCAGGUUAAUACCCCGCUGUUCUGACGGUACCCAAAGAAUAAGCACCGGCUAACUUCGUG
rnacentral:rRNA from 1 species